rnacentral:rRNA from 1 species
GUUUGAUCAUGGCUCAGAACGUACGCUGGCGGCACGCCUAACACAUGCAAGUCGAACGAAGUAGCAAUACUUAGUGGCAGACGGGUGAGUAACAUGUAGGUAUCUGCCCUUUGGCCUGGAAUAACACGAGGAAACUUGUGCUAAUACCGGAUAAGUCUUUACGGAGAAAGCUUUAUGCACCAUUGGAUGAGCCUGCACUUGAUUAGUUUGUUGGUGGGGUAAUGGCCUACCAAGACUGUGAUCAAUAGCUGAUUUGAGAGGAUGAUCAGCCACAUUGGGACUGAGACACGGCCCAAACUCCUACGGGAGGCAGCAGUGGGGAAUCUUGCACAAUGGAGGAAACUCUGAUGCAGCGAUGCCGCGUGAGUGAAGAAGGCCCUUGGGUUGUAAAGCUCUUUCGUCGGGGAAGAAAAUGACUGUACCCGAAUAAGAAGGUCCGGCUAACUUCGUGCCAGCAGCCGCGGUAAUACGAAGGGACCUAGCGUAGUUCGGAAUUACUGGGCUUAAAGAGUUCGUAGGUGGUUGAAAAAGUUAGUGGUGAAAUCCCAGAGCUUAACUCUGGAACUGCCAUUAAAACUUUUCAGCUAGAGUAUGAUAGAGGAAAGCAGAAUUUCUAGUGUAGAGGUGAAAUUCGUAGAUAUUAGAAAGAAUACCAAUUGCGAAGGCAGCUUUCUGGAUCAUUACUGACACUGAGGAACGAAAGCAUGGGUAGCGAAGAGGAUUAGAUACCCUCGUAGUCCAUGCCGUAAACGAUGUGUGUUAGACGUUGGAAAUUUAUUUUCAGUGUCGCAGGGAAACCGAUAAACACACCGCCUGGGGAGUACGACCGCAAGGUUAAAACUCAAAUGAAUUGACGGGGACCCGCACAAGUAGUGGAGCAUGUGGUUUAAUUCGAAGAUACGCGCAGAACCUUACCAACACUUGACAUGUUCGUCGCGACUCUAAGAGAUUAGAGUUUUCGGUUCGGCCGGACGAAACACAGGUGCUGCAUGGCUGUCGUCAGCUCGUGUCGUGAGAUGUUGGGUUAAGUCCCGCAACGAGCGCAACCCUCACUUUUAGUUGCCAUCAUUAAGUUGGGCACUCUGAAAGAACUGCCAGUGAUAAGCUGGAGGAAGGUGGGGAUGACGUCAAGUCCUCAUGGCCCUUACGUGUUGGGCUACACACGUGCUACAAUGGUAUCUACAACAGGAAGCAAGACUGCGAAGUUAAGCAAAUCCCUAAAAGAUACCUCAGUUCGGAUUGCACUCUGCAACUCGAGUGCAUGAAGCUGGAAUUACUAGUAAUCGUGGAUCAGCGUGCCACGGUGAAUGCGUUCCCGGGUCUUGUACACACCGCCCGUCACACCAUGGGAGUUGGUUCUACCUUAAGGCAAGGUUUCAAACCCUUGACCACGGUAUAGUCAGCGACUGGGGUGAAGUCGUAACAAGGUAACCGUA